rnacentral:rRNA from 1 species
UCGGGAAUUUUGGACAAUGGGCGAAAGCCUGAUCCAGCAAUGCCGCGUGCAGGAAGAAGGCCUUCGGGUUGUAAACUGCUUUUGUACGGAACGAAAAGGCUCUUUCUAAUAAAGAGGGCCCAUGACGGUACCGUAAGAAUAAGCACCGGCUAACUACGUGCCAGCAGCCGCGGUAAUACGUAGGGUGCGAGCGUUAAUCGGAAUUACUGGGCGUAAAGCGUGCGCAGGCGGUUCUAUAAGACAGAUGUGAAAUCCCCGGGCUCAACCUGGGAAUGGCAUUUGUGACUGUAGAGCUAGAGUACGGUAGAGGGGGAUGGAAUUCCGCGUGUAGCAGUGAAAUGCGUAGAUAUGCGGAGGAACACCGAUGGCGAAGGCAAUCCCUGGACCUGUACUGACGCUGAGGUGCGAAAGCGUGGGGAGCGAAACAGGAUUAGAUACCCCCGUAGUCCCUGAGCGGGCUGGCAAGGCGCAU